ACGAACGCUGGCGGCGUGCCUAAUACAUGCAAGUCGAGCGAAUCUAAAGGGAGCUUGCUUCCUUUAGAUUAGCGGCGGACGGGUGAGUAACACGUGGGUAACCUGCCUGUAAGACUGGGAUAACUCCGGGAAACCGGGGCUAAUACCGGAUAAGUUGUUCCUCCGCAUGGAGGAACAUUGAAAGAUGGCUUCGGCUAUCACUUACAGAUGGACCCGCGGCGCAUUAGCUAGUUGGUGAGGUAACGGCUCACCAAGGCAACGAUGCGUAGCCG
rnacentral:rRNA from 5 species